rnacentral:rRNA from 1 species
CAGGAUGGACCCGCGUCUGAUUAGCUAGUUGGUAAGGUAACGGCUUACCAAGGCGACGAUCAGUAGCCGACCUGAGAGGGUGAUCGGCCACAUUGGAACUGAGACACGGUCCAAACUCCUACGGGAGGCAGCAGUGGGGAAUAUUGCACAAUGGGCGAAAGCCUGAUGCAGCAACGCCGCGUGAGUGAUGAAGGCCUUCGGGUCGUAAAACUCUGUCCUCAAGGAAGAUAAUGACGGUACUUGAGGAGGAAGCCCCGGCUAACUACGUGCCAGCAGCCGCGGUAAUACGUAGGGGGCUAGCGUUAUCCGGAUUUACUGGGCGUAAAGGGUGCGUAGGCGGUCUUUCAAGUCAGGAGUGAAAGGCUACGGCUCAACCGUAGUAAGCUCUUGAAACUGGGAGACUUGAGUGCAGGAGAGGAGAGUGGAAUUCCUAGUGUAGCGGUGAAAUGCGUAGAUAUUAGGAGGAACACCAGUUGCGAAGGCGGCUCUCUGGACUGUAACUGACGCUGAGGCACGAAAGCGUGGGGAGCAAACAGGAUUAGAUACCCUGGUAGUCCACGCUGUAAACGAUGAGUACUAGGUGUCGGGGGUUACCCCCUUCGGUGCCGCAGCUAACGCAUUAA